GACAGAGGCCUCAAGCGUUAGGCGGAAUCACUGGGCUUAAAGCGUGUGUAGGCGGAUCGUUAAGUAUCUUGUGAAAUCCCACGGCUCACCCGUGGAACGGCUGGGCAUACUGGCGAUCUUGGGCCAACUAGGGGCAACUGGAACAAGCGGUGGAGCGGUGAAAUGCGUAGAUAUCGCGUGGAACGCCGAAGGUGAAAACAGGUUGCUGGGGUUGUGCCGACGCUGAGACACGAAAGCCAGGGGAGCAAACGGG
rnacentral:rRNA from 1 species